CGUAGGUGGCGAGCGUUGUCCGGAAUUAUUGGGCGUAAAGGGCGCGUAGGCGGUUUUUUAAGUCAGGUGUGAAAGCCCCCGGCUCAACUGGGGAGUGUCAUCUGAUACUGGGAAACUCGAGUGCAGGAGGGGAAAGUGGAAUUCCAUGUGUAGCGGCGAAAUGCGUAGAUAUAUGGAGGAACACCAGCGGCGAAGGCGGCUUUCUGGACUGCAACUGACGCUGAGGCGCGAAAGCUGGGGGGAGCGAACGGGAUUAGAUACCCCGGUAGUCCCAGCCGUAAACGAUGGAUGCUAGGUGUGGGGGGUAUCGACCCCUUCCGUGCCGCAGUUAACACAAUAAGCAUCCCGCCUGGGAGUACGGCCGCAAGGUUG
rnacentral:rRNA from 1 species